UAAAAGUAAUACUAUAACAGUAUUUUUUUUAUUUAAAUUUUUAUGCUCCUUAGAAGGCAUGCCCCUUGGACUUGUUCUUGUUACAAUAAGCAUAUGCUUGAAGACAAUCAAAAGUUUAUUUUUUUCUUUUCAUUAAACAAGACCAUACGGUUGUCAUGAAUUAAAAAAUUAAAUAGCUGUCAAAUCCAAGCGUGUCAUGAAUCUAUUGAAACUUUUGUUCUCACAUAAAUUUAAAACUUCUCUACAAAAUUAUUCUGGAUGGCAACAUCCAAAGAAAAGGCUGGCAAUCUAUUUGCAAAACUUAAAAACAAUAUUAUUUAGGAUCUUAUGGAGCGUGCUUAUUAUUUUAAUCACUGACUUGAGUUGUGGUCCAGGUACUCUUGUGAACCGUUUGAGCAUAAAAGUUCAGUAGCCAAUCUUUGAACAUUAUCUGUUUCAGCGCCCUUCUUGUUAAUGUAGACAAACUCAUGUACAGUGAUAUUAAUAUUGUUUAUCCAUUUCAUGCCAGCCAUUGAAAUUUUGUAGAGGGACUGUUUAGUCUUUGUGUUCCUCUGAUUUUUUGUGUUCUGGAUGGAAGCUUGAGAUGAAGUUAGUGCUUUAAGCCUCUCUUAAUAUUUGCCGUCUUUUGUAUUAUUUGUCAAUAGUGUGCAUAGUGUGCUGUGCUAUAAAUGAGUGCCACUACCGAUGUAGUCUUACAGGUGACUUUGCAGGAAAUUCAUUUAAUGCAUUUUGAUUAUUUUUCUGGGUUAUAAUUUUAACUUGAUAUUUUAGGGCAAUCAUGUACUUGAAGUGCCAAAUGGCCACCGGAUGCAUGUCAGUUCUGGUGAUUCAGGUAUUUGGCUCUGCUGGUGUUAUUGGAAAUCUAAUGGGUUUUGCAAGAAAUGUUGGAGUUGGUAUCAAGGAUUUUCUCUCAGUUUCUAGCAAAGGAAUUGUGCAGGAUGAAUAGUUCCUGUCGGUAUGAAUUGUCCUCAUCAGCAAUGAGAAAACACAUAAUUGAAUAAAUUUGGAGCAUGUGGUCAAUCUUAUUCAACUGUUCACUCAAGUCAAGUAACUGAUAAUUCUUCCGAGCAAAGUAGAU